rnacentral:lncRNA from 1 species
CCGCGGACUGAAGCUGAAAGAUGACCGUUAGCACUGAUAGAAGAAGAGGAAGAAUACGAAGCAAAACGACGUAGUUUCCACAAGUUUCCAACUGUACGGAUUGGAGGGAGAGGGAAAGUGUAGGGGAGUCUAUAACUGGAGCAAAACGACGCAGCUUCCAUGGCUGAAAAAAAUGUGAAUCAGCUUCUUCUGAUUUUGGAGAGAGCUCGAGGAUACGUGGGGGCGUAUUUUAGUUGAAGAGAAUAUGACAUGGUGUUGGCGGUUUUACAAUUAAGGAUAGUAUUUACUUGAAAGUUUUCCAUGACGUGGAUCUAAUUGAUUGGAAAGGGCCAUGUUAAGAGGUGAACGGGUGUGUGCUAAGCGUGGAGGUACAGAUAUGAAUGCGUGGCUGUUAUGGGCUUACGUGGACUCAGAGAUUGUACGGUGGCAUGAGCAGAAAUUUUAAGCAGCAGUUUCAGUCAGAGUGGAUAAUUUCAGAAACUUCCCUUGAAGUUUCUGACAGUUUCACUUAGCACCCUUAAAAUUUUAAACAUAAUCAGUUGCCUCCCCUAUUUUUAAAUUAUUGUAACAUUUUUAACCCAAUUCAAAUUAUAUAAUUAAAAUACUAUCUUAAGGAAAGAGAAGUUAUUUCCUUCCAAAGUUACCCUUUAAAUUUAAAAUUCUUUGACAUUUAAAAACUUGUGGAAUGUAUUGUCUAAUGAAAAAUUAUAAGGUUGGGGUUGAGAAAUCCUUUAACUAAUCUUAUCAAUAAUUUGGAGACAAAAUUUAAAGUUGACAAAUUAUAAAAAUUAACAAUACAUGUAAAAACUAUUUGAAAUAUUGUAAAGAAGAAGAAAAUAACUUUUUUUCACCUCCUAAACAUCUCAAAUAAGUUUUAAAUGUAUAUUUUAAACGUUUUUUCCUUUUCUAAAUUUUCAUACCAUCAAUCAAGAUAAACAAAAAUUAAAGAUUCUAAAUAAUUUAUUAAAUUUAUUAAAUUUUUUCAAUGCAUUUUAUGUAAAAAGAAAGAUUUUUCUCGUCUAGUAAUCUAAAGGCACACAAUAAUAAGUAUAUGGAUAAAUGAAGGUAGGCCCAAUAUUAAAGUUUUAAAAUCAUAGAUAAACCCCCAUAUUGCAACACUUUUGCAGCAGAAAUCUAUGCUUUUACCAAAAAAAAUAAUAACAAUAAUAUUGGAUUUAUUUCUAAUUAUAUGACCUUAUAGUUUCCCAAAUAGACAAACCCUAAAGGAAAAAAAUUCUUUUGUAAGCUGAAAACAUGUUAAAUAUAAUUUUAUUAUUUUUGUACUUUAAAAAAUCAUAUUGCUUAUGAUUGUAGUUACUGUAUUUUGUCCCUUUGAAAAAAAGUACAUAUCAUGGUUUUUGUCCUUAUUUUUAGCAUUUGACUAUUAUACUUACAAUCUAAAAAAAAAAAAAUGUAAGAGAACAAAAGCGCGUUGUUGGAAAGAAAUUAUUCUCUCCUUCCUAAAAUGAGUACUUUAAUCAUAUAAUUUGAAUUGGGUUGAGAAUGUUACAAAAUAUAAAAAGGGGAAGGCAAGUGAUAGUUUAAAAUUUUUAAGAGAACUAAGUGAAUUUCACUCAGGGAAGGUUUCUAAAAUUAUCCCCUUCAUUAUCUAUCCCAAGUAGAGUUGAUAAAGGAAUAAGUUGUUCGUGGGAUUUGCGGCUUCAGAUCCUCUGUCCCCAAAAUAGUCUCUGUCCCCUCUAUCUCUUUGUUGUACAGCUGCCACGUGUCUCUAGUCUUUUGUUAACCCAAACUCAAAUGAACCAAUAAUAAUCGGUUUAUAAGUUUUGUUAAUCCAAAUUCAGAGAACCAAAUUCCAAUUCAUAAUUCCAAUAUCUAGUACGAAUACCCGUGCUACGCACGGUAUUGACAUUAUUGAAAAAAAAUGAAAAUAAAAUGGUGAAUAAACAAGAUUAAAAAAUUGUACCAAUAUAAUUAAAAUGUAAUAUCUGUCUAACAAUAGUUUGAAAUAUGAUAGAAUGUGAUUUUGAUUUUUUGAAAAUCAAAUUCCAAAAUCAUCUGCUGGAUAAAAAUAAGAGAAUAGUAAUAAAAUUUCAACCACUCUUACUAAGUACACCUAAAAACCCUGCUAAUACUUGAAUAACCAUGGUCUAUCAUGUUGGUUUGUAAUAUCAAAUCCUUGCCUAUUCACAAUUCAAAACUUUUAAAGAUGGUUGGUUUGUUUGAAUUUGGGUUAACAAAACUUAUAAACCGAUUAUUAUCGGUUUAUUUGAGUUUGGAUUAACAAAAGACUAGAAACACAUGACAACUGUACAACAAAGGGACAGAGAGGACAGAAACUAUUUUGGGACAGAGGAUCUGAAGCCGGAAUUUGCUCAACGGGAUGGUAUAAGCUGGAGUUCAACUCUUUCAUUUAAUUUACAUGAAAUUAGCCACGUUUUCGAGAACAGUACUCCAAUCAUGAUAAUGUAGAAAACAGUAGCUAUUGUAAAACUAAUAAACUAAAUGGAGAUAUUAGAGAAAUAAGUAGAGAAAUAGAGAGUGAUUUUCUUGUAUUCCAAUAAAAUAAAAAAGUCUUUCCCAAAGGGUGUCAAUGUACCUCUAUAUAUAGGUACUACAAGAUUAAAGGUACAUUAAUUCUAUUAAACACCCACUACUACAAGAAUAUGAAGAACUUAUGAAACGGUUCUUCCACUACAUGAAUAGAUUUAUGGAUUGUAACUUCUAUACAUAAUGUAGCCAUAAAUCAAGAAUUAAUCCUCUUGGGAAUACAAAGGGACAUCCAUACUUUUAAUUGUUUCAUAACACUCCCCAUUGGAUGUCCAUUACACAAAGAAUAUGUCUCGUUAAAACCUUACCAAGGAAAAACCUAUCGGGACAAAAACCCUAGUGAAGGAAAAAGAGUACACUAUUCUUGUAUAUUAAUUUCUCCCCCUGAUGCAAACAUUAUUUGAGAUCUUUUAAUCGUUGUAUUCCAAUAUUCUUCGCCAAUCGCACUAAGAUAUGGUACUUUAGGACCAAGUAACUCUUCAUCUUCCUUUCGCGAUCUAAAAGGAUCCUUAUUAGGAUCUAAUGAUCUGACGAUCAUUGGAAUAUUUAAUAUAUGUGUCUUAUUCAUAUAAAAUCGCUUUAAUACCUUCCGGGUAUAUGCAGUUUGGUGGAUAAAAAAUUCGCUUUUCAAAUGCUCAAUUUGUAAAUCAAGGUAGAAUUUUGUUUUUCCAAAAUUCUUGAUCUCAAAAUCCUUCUUCAAAUAUUCAACAUUAUUUUGAAUUUUUUCAGGAGUUCCAAUCAAAUUUAGAUCAUCAACAUAUACAGCAAUUAUCACAAAAUUUGUUCCAUUUUUCUUGAUAAAAACACAUGGACAUAUUUGACCAUUGGUAUAACCUUCGUUAGUUAGACAUUCAUUGAGGUGGUUAUACCACAUACGUCCAGAUUGUUUGAGAUCAUACAAAGACCUUUGUAAUUUAAUAGAAUAAAUAUCUUUAGAAUUUGAUUUGCAUGCUUCAGGCAUGUUGAAUCCUUCGGGGAUUCUCAUAUAAAUAUCAUUUUCAAGAUUUCCAUAUAAAUAUGCAGUAACGACGUCCAUUAGACGCAUAUCUAAUUUUUCAUGUACUGCAAAACUCAUAAGAUAUCUAAAUGUGAUAGCAUCCACUACAGGUGAAUACGUUUCAUCAUAAUCAAAUUCAGGCCUUUGUGAAAAUCUUUAAGCUAUUAGUUUUACACCUUUAGGUGUUUGGACUACAAGUCCAAAAACUUUUCUUUUAAUCAGUGAGUCUAAUUCAGAUUGGAUCGCAUCUUUCCACUUUAACCAAUCAUUUCUAUACCGACAUUCAUCAACCGAUCUAGAUUCAUGAUUCUCAUCAAUUUCUAUAAUAUCAAGUGCUACAUUUCAUUAGGUUCCAAUUAAAUUUUCUAUGAUUUCGUUCUCUUCAGGAGUUGGCUCUUCAGGAGCGAUCUCUUCAAGAGGUUGAAUUUUGUCAUGACAUUUAAUCUCCGGAGAUAUUUGAAAUCAAUUUAUACCUUAUUUAGGUAGGCCGGUCUUAAAUUUAUUUGUAGCACUUGUGCAUAUCCUUCAGGGAUAUCAAUUUUAAUCAAGGUAUUUCUUGCAGGAAUAAUUGAUUUAAUAACUCUUCUGGAGUCGAUAAUAUAUCUGACAACUGGUUUGCAGUUUUCUGCAAAUGAAUAAUUUCUUGAACUUCCAGUUCACGUUAUUUUGUAUGAGGAUUGAGGAAAUCCAAUUUUUCAGGUGAUUUCCUUUCGGUUGAUUUCUUCCUCCCCCUAAUGUAGAGGAAUCGUAACUCAUCAGAAUAAAUAAAUCAUUUAAUAGAUCACCCACCAAAUAUUUUACGAUAUUUAAUCGUAAAAAGUGAUUCAUACCCGACAUAAAUUCUAAAUUUCUUUUGGAGCCAUAUAUAAUAUAAAGGUGGUAUGUAUAAAUACUUGUCGGCUCUCAAAUAUUUUCACUUUCGUCAAAUCAUGUAUUCAUUGGGAUCAGUAAACUUCUGGUUUACUGCAGAUGAUGAUUAUAAAUCAAAUGAGAAUGAAGACAACUAUAUCGAUAAUCAUUUCUCUCUCGAAUGAUUAUUAUAAUAUAAUUAACAUUUAUCUUACUUGAUUUCUAAACAUGAUCUCAAUUAUUGUCUCAUUUAGUGUCUCAAUUUGAUAUCCAUUUCAACGGAUAUUCAAAUUCAAUAAAUUUUUCGAGACAUGAUAAAAUGUAGUACUUUAUUCACGAUAAACUUUUCUCCUACAGGGAGAAAUAUAGUAGUGGCUCUUCUGGAGUUUUCAAUCACUUAAGCACUACCACUAAUUGUGUUUGUUUCUUUUAUUGAAAAAUAGUGUAUAUAGUAGCACUUAUUAAUGAGACACAUAUCAUUAUCACCAUAAUUCUUAUGGGACAAAUAUUAUCACCAUAAUCUUUUGAUCCCAAAUGUUUAACAUACAUUUCUUCUUCAGGAAGAAAAGCUAAUUAAAUUAAUCAUCAUACAUCUUCAGGGUGUUUAAAGAAAUUGGCCAUGUGAAGAUGAUAUUAUAAUUUUGAUUCGUCAAAUGUACUUCGGGGCAUUUAUCUUUAGAACCUUUAUUUUCUUGUCCUUAUCAUUAUUAUCCCACUUCAAGUGGUAACUUUUUUUCUUUUGUCAUGGUAAAAUAUAUAUUUACCAAAAUCAUAGUCAUGGCAGCAACCAUAACUAAAAAUUGAAAUUUAGUCGCAUUCACUUCUGAGAAUGGACUAGAACUAGUAUGCAAUAAGUACAAAAUACGGCUCAAAUUUUCUCUCAAUAUUGCUACUACAAGAGCAUAUUUGAGAAAUAUGUAGAGAAUAUCAUUUUCAACUAAGAAAUAAUUCUAAAUAUAGCAGAAUCGUGUACUUACAGCCAUAAGUAAAUUUAUCAUACCAAAUUUUGAAAUAAUGACCAUCUUCUGGUGGCCAAAUCUUUUUGUUAAAGAACGACCAUUUUCAGGUGAUCGAAUCUUUUUCUUUAAAUAUUUCAAAGGACAAGUAGAUUCUCAAAUAUAAUUGAUUUUCUAUAAUAGCAUCUCUAAAAUUCAAUGCAUCAGAAUAUAAGUAUCUAUAACAAAUAUUUUAAAGAUAAAUAAGUAGAAUUAAAAGAAGAAAUAUUACCUCAAAUGUGUCAAACAUUAUAUGUUCUUGUUUAGUAGUUGCUCAGUAGUAGACACUUGUAUUUUGCAAUCAUUCAAAGGUUAACCAUAAUAAAUUGAAAUAAAUUUAUAGGUUAAAAAUUUACCUCAAUAAAUAGACAGAUGUUGGCGAAAAAAAAACAUGGGCAGAAUCUCAUGUUUCACUUUUACUCAAGAUAGAGGCUCCGUUUUCACCUUUUGCUCAAAAAUAGAGACUCGUGUUGAUAACGUGUUGUAAAACUAAUAAAUUAAAUGGAGAUAUUAGAGAAAUAAGUAGAGAAAUAGAGAGUGAUUUUCUUGUAUUCCAAUAAAAUAAAAAAGUCUUUCCUAAAGGGUGUCAAUGUACCUCUAUAUAUAGGUACUACAAGAUUAAAGGUACAUUAAUCCUAUUAAACACCCACUACUACAAGAAUAUAAAGAAACCUUGUAGACACCAAAUUUUUGGUGUAAUUUCUUUUACUUUUUAUUCUCAUUUGUCGUGGUUGCUUUUAGUUUUUUUUUUUAGUUUCUAGUUUCUAUUUUAAUUCUUAAGUUUUAACGUAGAAAAAUCAUGGAAAAAGAGAAAAAAAGAAAAUUGUUCACAAAAAUACAUUCAAAUUUAAUCUUUUGGCAUUUUGGUUUAUUUUUGUUAAUUUAUUUUGAAAAAAAAGAAAAGAAGGAAAAAAUGAUGAAAAAUGAUGAAAAUGAAAGAAAAGAUCGAAAAUGGUAAUUUUGUUAUUUUUAGUUUGAUUGAUUUUGAUGUGUUUGUAAUUAAAAUUGUUGUUUUUAUUAUUAUUUAGUUUUACUAUUAUUUUUGUUAAAUUAUUAAGUUAAGAAAAAGAAAAAAAAAGAAAAAGAAAAAAAACUAACUAAAGCCGUGAAUGUUGUGUGAACCUUAGAAGUAGAAGUUGAGUGGAGAGCUUCGGUAUUGACACCACCGACUGAUAAGGAGCUGGAGUGAUUAGUUACGUAGGUAAUACCGACCGAGAGGAAUAAAAAGGAAGAAAACAGAGAGCGAGGCUUUUUUUCUGCUGUCUGCUUGAAACUGUGAGGAAGAGUGAGAGUGGGGGAGUAUUUCUGGUUCCUUUCAGCCACAACCAAAAGAGAGAGAGAGACUUACCUGGUAAGCACCGCGAGAGGAAAGAAAAUAGCGAGCUGCAAUCUUUCUUCUUCUCCUUUCUGUCCAGACCGUGAGCUAGAGCAACGGAAAGGAAGACACUGCGUGAGUUCCUCCCAUUUCUGCACCCUUCACCCUCAAUCAACUGCGAUCAUCCACCCACUUCAACAACCGCAGCUGCAACACCAACUCGCGAACCGAACUGGUGCGUGAAGCCGAGAGGAAGGAAGAAAAAAUUUUCAGAUUUUUUUUUGUGCGUGAGCUGAGUUGUUACAGAGGUAAUUUCUGAGCCAAAUUUAAGCUAAUUAAUGGUAGAUGAUAGAGAUUAAGAGUCUGCAUGUUGGAUGGUGCGACUGAAUGAUGAAAUUACCACCUGAGAAAAUCUGUUUUGCAAAAGAAAUGAGUUGACCGAGAACUGAUUUGGAUAAUGCAGCGUUAAUCUUGUUUCUUGGAGUAAUCUGAGCUUUUAAAUGUUAUUAACUAACUAAGAACUGGAUGGUUAGGUCUUGCAUGAAGUUAGUUAGCUCAGAUUAAGCUAGAAAAGAAGAGAUGAAACAAAAUCGGCUUGCAUGCAAGUUCAUCCGAGGGAAGCUGAACAAAUUGCUGGUUGAUUGACGAAUUCUUGGUAAUAACCGAACUGAAUUUGGACUGGAAAUGCUAGCUAAUCAGUUCAGUAGUUGUGCAUGUGAGAUUUAAGUGCCAAAUACAAGGUUUUAACCGAAGGAAAAUUCUGUUUAAGACUAUUCUAUGUUACCAAUUCAAAUCAGUUCAAAUGAUUAGAUGUUUGGGUUCCGUUUGCUAGUUCGAAGUGCUCAGUUUUUGAUGGUCUUUUGUUGAAAUUUCUGGACUGGUUCGAUUUUCCUUUUGGUCUUGUUUGAUCAUGUCUUCAUGCCUUUGCUGACUGCAUUUCGAAGCAGCAAUUUGCGGUACAAUAGUGAGCUGCAACAGAGUAUCUGUUGUUGCAGCAACAUUGCUAGAUGUAUCGUUUGGUUGUUCUAAAGUUUGAGUGGUUUAAUUUCUGGGGUGGGUUCGUUGUCUCUGGGUUGCGUUUAUUGGUUAGUGGGCAAGAGUUGAAAUGGUUUUUAUCAAAGUUUCAGGGGUUUUCUUUCUCUUUGCUGGUGUCUUCCUCUGUUUCACUCAUUUUUGUUUUGGUGGCUGAUAUGGAUAGUUCAGGUCAUUCUCUUAAUGUUAAAUCCUGGUCAGUGUACGUUAGGAGGAUGCGUAGGGAAUUCUGUUCUUUGAUUCAAGUUGGAUUUGAUUGGAAUAGCUAAACUUGCGGUGGAACAUGAAAUCUGAUAAGUUGUCACACGAGGAACAAGGAAAAUUUGCAGAAUGCAUGAACUUCUUUGAGUCAUUUGCAUGAGUUUCUUUUCUAUGUUUUGCUUUGUUUGCAUGUUGAAAUCAUGUUGCAUGUUGCUUAGCUUAAAGCUGUGACAUUGGAGCUGAAGGUAUCUAAUCAAAGUCGUGUGUUAAAAUUGGAAAUUUGAGUUAGGAAACCAAAAUGCAGCAGGCUUUACAUUCGGCAUGCUGAAAUCCUUAGUGUUUAAAUUACUUAGUCUGUUUGUUAUUUGAAAUUUUUUGAGAAGUGUUUAGGUGAAAGGUUUGGUUAAAGAAGGUGUGCUGAAGUCCCAAGUUUGUGUUUGAAACCUGUUUUUUUUUUGUUUGUUGUUUGUUUUGAAAGAAAGUUAUGGGCAGAUUUUCUGUUUUGGCCGAUGCAAGCUCAAAGAGCAAAGUGUUGCAGCGGUUUCUUUUUCUUCUUUCUUUCGUGAUUGCAUGAAAGUUUGCAUGAAAAUAUUUUUUCAGAAAAUUACACUUUAACCCCCCAAGUUUCUUUUGGUUGUACUAUGACCCAGAAAUUGGAAAAAUUAAUCAAUUUAAUCCUUCAAGCUUCUCCAUGUUCCACAAAAGCCCAAACAUGUUCUCAUUUCUUUACAAAAAGGUCCUAAGGAGGUGUUAAGAUUCUUCAAUUGUUUGACACCCUUGUUGAUGGAAAAUCUGUAUUCCGAGGGGUUUAGUGUGUGUUUGGAGGAUUUUUAUAUACCAAAGGCUAUUAUUGAGGUUGUCCAGCAAAGUCUUCAAGAUAUUUCACCCUUGCUAUAUCAUAUGCGCUCAACUCAAAGUGAAUCAAUAAAAUUACAGCAAUCUUUUUCCAUCUUGCCUAAAAGCUCCACAAGUGUUUUAUAUAAUUUCCUUCUAUGUUUUGCUUGUUGGAUGUGAGUUUUAUUUGUUUUGAUUGCUUAAUCCAGAGUUUGGACAAAUGAAAUGGUUAUACUUAAGGCUGUCUAGAGCCCAUUUGUAAAUGAAGCUGCAGCAGACUUCUCCUUUAGUUGUAGCAGAUUUUGAAACAUGUUUUUCUUUCAGAAUGUGGCGUGAUAUCCUGUUAAGUUUUUGGCCUUUUUAGAUGCGGAAGUUCUUAUAUUUGGUUGCUUAGUUUUCCAUUUUGGUAUCUGGGGAACAAAGUUUAGAUCAAAAUUAGGCAUUUGGAUGGGAACCUGCGUUUUUGGGAAAUAAAAUUUCCAGCAAGUUCUAUUUUCUGCCGCAAUAUGGUUCAUUAUUUGAUCUUUCAUUUCAUUUUAAGGGUUGGUUGUUUAUGAAGGGAUUGAGUUAACAAAAAUGUUCAGUUGUCAAGGGUGUUUGAGAGUUGGUGUUAGUUAGUUAGUUUGUUUAAAAUCUGGCAUGAAGUUUACAAGAGGAAGCUGCCGAAAGUUUAUUGCAGAAACUUGUUUACGUUGUUUUCUUUGUUGCAUGAAUUUGGCAUGUAAAAAGUUUCAAAAAAAAAUUGCAAAUCAGUCCCUCAUGUUCCUCCGCAUAUUACUAAGGUCCAACUAUGUUCUAGUAGCUUACAAUUGAGUUCUAAAAUAAUUGCAAUUUGAGUCAUGACUUGGCCCCCUUCCUUGCUUUUGAGCUUGUGAAUUUCUCAAAAUGUGUUAAUUAGACUUGAGUGGUUGUUGAUGGUUGUAAUUGGUUUCUAAAAGUGCAAAUUGAACCAUUCCUUGGCUUUUUCUUUACACUUUGGCCCCCUAAGUCUCUCCUUAUCUUACCAUGGCCCAAGCAAAUUGAAGAAUUCAAUUAAUUUGAUCCCUCUAAGUUUCUCUUUGUGCCACAAUAGCCCAAGCAUGUUUUAGUAUCUUGUAAUUAAGUCCUAAAAUCAUUGCAACUUCAAUCAUUGUUUGGCUCUUUUUCUUUAUUUUUUGGAAUCUUUGAAGUGCUUAAACGAUUUAUUUGGACUUGAAUGUUUGAGUAAUGCUUGUGUUGGGUCUUUAGUAGAUGCUAUAUUUGGAAAUUGAACGGGUUAUUCCGUUUUCUUGGUCUUUAAGCAUUUUUUGAGCUCAUUCAAGUCGCAAUUAGGUGGGUUUUGGUGUUUUUGCUUAUACUUUACUUUUAAAUUGAUGCCUUGACCCCUUUAUUGUUUUGAAGCCAUUUUCCUUCAUUUGCUUACCAUUAGGGGAAGGUAUAAUUUCUUUUAUCUUUGUUUAUCUCUCCUAUAUGAUCCAAUGUGCUAAGUGAAUUGCAUGUCUACCUUGCUUUCUUUACAUUUCUUUAAUUCCUUUCAUUCCUUUCAUUUAUGGGGUAUGUGUACACCUCUUGGCUUGUAAUAAAUAGGGCUUUGGCGAGCGAUUUGGUCCAUUUUCCCCUUUCCCUUUUGUUUUAGUUAGUGAAUGUAAUAAUUUCAUUAGCUUGGUUGCAUGCCUAUGUGUUACGUGUUACUUGUUUUAUUAGGUUUUGCAUCUAGUCAAGCAUGUUAAGUGCUACGUGCUACGUGUUUAUGAGUGUUUGACAUGUUUACUAGCUUUCCGUAGUGUAGAUGAAUGGAAUGGAUGAAUGUACGUUUCCACUAGUCCAACGCUAGUCGGAAUUCAUAGAAUGGGCUGGUCCAAUGCUAGACCCUUAGGGAUUUCCCCUCAUUAGUACAUGUCUGCAUGUUCAUUACAUGUCAUGCAUUCUUUUUAGUUUUAUCAUUUUGCAUGCCCCUCUAAUCCCUUCCCUCUCACUUUAGGAUUUUUGCAUCUCAUGCUAGUUAUAGGGUUCAUCUGCUUGAGUGUCCCCUUAAAUAUGGGAUAUAGACGAGUGUGGGUUUUUCUAAGCUUUAGCACGCUUGUAUUCCCUCUAUAAAAGGGCAAAUUGAGUCACGAUUUAGGUCUCCCCGUAC